GAUGAACGCUGGCGGCGUGCCUAAUACAUGCAAGUCGAGCGAACAGACGAGGAGCUUGCUCCUCGGACGUUAGCGGCGGACGGGUGAGUAACACGUGGAUAACCUACCUAUAAGACUGGGAUAACUUCGGGAAACCGGAGCUAAUACCGGAUAAUAUAUUGAACCGCAUGGUUCAAUAGUGAAAGACGGUUUUGCUGUCACUUAUAGAUGGAUCCGCGCCGCAUUAGCUAGUUGGUAAGGUAACGGCUUACCAAGGCGACGAUGCGUAGCCGACCUGAGAGGGUGAUCGGCCACACUGGAACUGAGACACGGUCCAGACUCCUACGGGAGGCAGCAGUAGGGAAUCUUCCGCAAUGGGCGAAAGCCUGACGGGGCAACGCCGCGUGAGUGAUGAAGGUCUUCGGAUCGUAAAACUCUGUUAUUAGGGACGAACAAAUGUGUAAGUAACUAUGCACGUCUUGACGGUACCUAAUCAGAAAGCCACGGCUAACUACGUG
rnacentral:rRNA from 1 species